ensembl:lncRNA
CCCACACUCCGCACUGUCCACUGAGUUACACAGCUGUGAAAGGUCUUUACAGGAGACGACCUGCUGUCAUGACUUCCCCAACAUCAGGAAAUAUCAGAGCAGCACUGACCCUCAUAUUACUGGCAGCCACAUGGUGCCGCCUACCUAGAGGACAACCCCUCUGGCACAGUGUGCUAGACUAUUAGAAAGGUGGACAGUAAAAGGCAAAGUUAAAGACAGAGGCUGGAAGUUGGCUGUUCAUGAUAAAUUCAAUGCAACAUCAGGUCAGUUUCCAUCACUCACCCAGCCUGCAUU